rnacentral:rRNA from 1 species
AUACAUGCAAGUCGAGCGAAUCUGAGGGAGCUUGCUCCCAAAGAUUAGCGGCGGACGGGUGAGUAACACGUGGGUAACCUGCCUGUAAGAUUGGGAUAACUCCGGGAAACCGGAGCUAAUACCGGAUAACAUUUCGAACCGCAUGGUUCGGAAUUGAAAGACGGCUUUUGCUGUCACUUACAGAUGGACCCGCGGCGCAUUAGCUAGUUGGUGAGGUAACGGCUCACCAAGGCAACGAUGCGUAGCCGACCUGAGAGGGUGAUCGGCCACACUGGGACUGAGACACGGCCCAGACUCCUACGGGAGGCAGCAGUAGGGAAUCUUCCGCAAUGGACGAAAGUCUGACGGAGCAACGCCGCGUGAACGAUGAAGGCCUUCGGGUCGUAAAGUUCUGUUGUUAGGGAAGAACAAGUGCUAGAGUAACUGCUAGCACCUUGACGGUACCUAACCAGAAAGCCACGGCUAACUACGUGCCAGCAGCCGCGGUAAUACGUAGGUGGCAAGCGUUGUCCGGAAUUAUUGGGCGUAAAGCGCGCGCAGGCGGUUUCUUAAGUCUGAUGUGAAAGCCCACGGCUCAACCGUGGAGGGUCAUUGGAAAACUGGGGAACUUGAGUGCAGAAGAGGAGAGU